ACACGUAGGGGGCGAGCGUUGUUCGGAAUCAUUGGGCGUAAAGGGCGCGUAGGCGGCCCGGUAAGUCUGGAGUGAAAGUCCUGUUUUUAAGAUGGGAAUUGCUUUGGAUACUGUCGGGCUUGAGUGCAGGAGAGGUAAGUGGAAUUCCCAGUGUAGCGGUGAAAUGCGUAGAGAUUGGGAGGAACACCAGUGGCGAAGGCGACUUACUGGACUGUAACUGACGCUGAGGCGCGAAAGUGUGGGGAGCAAACAGGAUUAGAUACCCUGGUAGUCCACACUGUAAACGAUGAAUGCUAGGUGUAGGGGGUAUCGACCCCUUCUGUGCCGCAGUCAACACAAUAAGCAUUCCGCCUGGGGAGUACGGCCGCAAGGUUGAAACUCAAAUGAAUUGGCGGGG
rnacentral:rRNA from 1 species